rnacentral:rRNA from 1 species
GACGAACGCUGGCGGCGUGCUUAACACAUGCAAGUCGAACGGAAAGGCCCUGCUCUGGUGGGGGGCUCGAGUGGCGAACGGGUGAGUAACACGGGAGUAACCUGCCCUUUACUUUGGGAUAACUUCAGGAAACUGUGGAUAAUACCGGAUAGGAGCUGCUGCUGCAUGGGGGGGGUUGGGACGUUUCGGCGGUUGGGGAUGGACUCGCGGCUUAUCAGCUUGUUGGUGGGGUAGUGGCUUACCAAGGCUUUGACGGGUAGCCGGCCUGAGAGGGUGACCGGCCACCUUGGGACUGAGAUACGGCCCAGACUCCUACGGGAGGCAGCAGUGGGGAAUAUUGCACAAUGGGCGGAAGCCUGAUGCAGCAACGCCGCGUGCGGGAUGACGGCCUUCGGGUUGUAAACCGCUUUCGCCUGUGACGAAGCGUGAGUGACGGUAAUGGGUAAAGAAGCACCGGCUAACUACGUG